rnacentral:rRNA from 1 species
AGCGAACGCUGGCGGCAGGCCUAACACAUGCAAGUCGAACGGAUCCUUCGGGAUUAGUGGCGGACGGGUGAGUAACACGUGGGAACGUGCCCUUUGGUUCGGAACAACUCAGGGAAACUUGAGCUAAUACCGGAUGUGCCCUUCGGGGGAAAGAUUUAUCGCCAUUGGAGCGGCCCGCGUCUGAUUAGCUAGUUGGUGAGGUAAAGGCUCACCAAGGCGACGAUCAGUAGCUGGUCUGAGAGGAUGAUCAGCCACAUUGGGACUGAGACACGGCCCAACCUCCUACGGGAGGCAGCAGUGGGGAAUCUUGCGCAAUGUGCGAAAGCCUGACGCAGCCAUGCCGCGUGAAUGAUGAAGGUCUUAGGAUUGUAAAAUUCUUUCACCGGGGACGAUAAUGACGGUACCCGGAGAAGAAGCCCCGGCUAACUUCGUGCCAGCCGCCGCCGUAAAAC